rnacentral:rRNA from 1 species
CUCCGCCGGCGACCGGCGCACGGGUGAGUAACACGUAUCCAACCUGCCGAUGACUCGGGGAUAGCCUUUCGAAAGAAAGAUUAAUACCCGAUGGCAUAGUUCUUCCGCAUGGUAGAACUAUUAAAGAAUUUCGGUCAUCGAUGGGGAUGCGUUCCAUUAGCUUGUUGGCGGGGUAACGGCCCACCAAGGCAUCGAUGGAUAGGGGUUCUGAGAGGAAGGUCCCCCACAUUGGAACUGAGACACGGUCCAAACUCCUACGGGAGGCAGCAG